AAUGUUCUGAAGCAUCACAAAAGGUAAGUGUAUUCCUUUCGUAUGAAAAACGUUGCUUUGACUAUUAACCUUGGGCCAAGUUGGAAAACAUGAAAGUAAAGGGCUGAAUAUGAAGAAGAAUAGCUUUUAUCUUUUAUAUGCAUUUUUUGCAAAUUGAUUAUUGAAGAGGGUUGAGAUGGCAUUCUGAAGUUAUCAUUUUAUAGUUUCCUUCCUCAUUAAGUAGACGCCGAAUAUAGUUGCAAUCGUUGUUUUGAAAUUUCAAGUGAAAGUGAAUGGUGCGUUGCUAUACUUGAAGCUUCUGUUCGUGUACUUCUUCAUUGUUCGGAGACAGUGGACGCUGAUGCAGUCUUCAAGAAAGGUUUCUUUUCAUGGGAAGUGGCUGAGGGAGUCAAAUGUGCUGGUAGUCUCCGAAGGAUUUACGAAGAGAUAAGACAUCAAAAGGAUGUCUUUGGUCCGCACUGUGCCCAAUUUUUAUCCAAUUACGUAUGGAUUUAUUCAGGAUUUGGCCCCUGUAAAACAGGCAUCAAAAGGGAAAUAGACGAAGCUCUAAGACCAGGUAGGUGUAUAUGCAUUAAUAGAUACUUGCUCGCCAGAUGAUCUUCAACGUCUUCAUACCAUAUUUGGAGAGGGUCCUUGCAGAAACACCUUGGCAGCUCUAAAACAUGAUUACGAACUCAAUUUCCAAUACCGGGGAAAAGUCUAACCGAAGCUUCUUCCUAUGGUGGGCUAUACCGGCAUCGUCAUUUGACGUGACUGUACGACUCUUGUAACAUAAACAUCAACUUCCAUUGACAAAGGCCAUUGAAUCUUUGAUGGGACAUCAUCACUGUUGCAAAAGAGAAGCCCCCUCCUCAUACCCGGUUCUGGUUUUCUUGGCGGUGGCCGCGGUGCUUCUUCUUCUGUCAUCUUUGAUCUCCUUCGAUGUUGAAACCCCGAAAUUUGAGAUCAAUUGGGGGCUCAUAGCCACUCCGUUGCUGUUGCUAGCGGUUGUGCAUUGGUUGUCGUCAGAAACUCCCAAGGCGCCAUGUUUUGUGCCUCCACCGUGUUGCAAGUGUAGGCACGCUUGCAAGUGUGGCUAUUACUAAAAUGGUUGUGUUAUUUAUCCACUGUAUCAUUAAACACUGCGUUUCAUGAGAGUUGGUUUGUCUAGUAUGCAUUUUAGGUAAGAGGAUUGAUGUCCUUGGUUUAUUUAUUGUAAGUAAUGAGUUACAGUUGUUAAUACUACGUCAAAUUUGGGUUAAUUAUGGUCGUUGUAACGUUAUUGAAAAUUCGAGUCUUGAUUGUAAAUUUUGAAUGCAUUUUUGUUGUAUUUUACUCUAUCGUUACGUGGUGACUUGGUAGUACAACAGAAUCAAAAUACAAAGUUUCCACUAAGUA